UACGAAGGGGGCUAGCGUUGCUCGGAAUCACUGGGCGUAAAGCGCACGUAGGCGGAUUGUUAAGUCAGGGGUGAAAUCCUGGAGCUCAACUCCAGAACUGCCUUUGAUACUGGCGAUCUCGAGUCCGGGAGAGGUGAGUGGAACUGCGAGUGUAGAGGUGAAAUUCGUAGAUAUUCGCAAGAACACCAGUGGCGAAGGCG
rnacentral:rRNA from 1 species